ACACCUCAACUCUCACGGUUUGCCGUGAUGAGCUUGGACUUUGGGGGUUUUGCUGGCCAUGCGGUUGGCUCCUCUCAAAUAAAUCAGCUUGCCAGCGUUUGGUGGCUUCAUGGGUGUGAUAACUGUCUACGCCUGUGGUCCAUCGGGUGACCUUCAGCGAUGGAGGUUUGCUGGAGCUUACAAAUGUCUCUCCUCGGCAGAGACGGCUUUUCGAACGU
rnacentral:misc_RNA from 1 species